rnacentral:lncRNA from 1 species
AUUAUUUUACUUUUGAAAAAUACCAAAAAUAUUUUAUUUAUUUCUUGACUUCUAAUCUUCAUUUUGGUUCUGUUUACUAAUGUUUGACCUUGAUUUCAUAUAUCUUUGGUCAAUGUAUGUUGGUUACCUCAUUUGAUUUCCAUUAAUGCACUUUAUUAUUCUUCAUCUUCUUCUUUUUCUUCUUUUUCUUUUUUUUUAUCAAUGAGUUAAAGAUUGGUGGUUAGCCUUGAUACAUGGGAGGUUUAACCUUCCUUGAUUCAAAUCUAAUUCAAC